rnacentral:ncRNA from 17 species
GACCGCAAGGCCUCGGGGAAUGCGGGUGAGAAUCCUGCGCUAUGCCAGUAACCGUAAACGCCACGACGCACGUCGGGCAAAGUCGGAAUGCCGAGCCGGUCAUCGAGAACUCUGGGAAGCGAGUGACAACGGAUGAUUUC